UAGGGAAUCUUCGGCAAUGGACGGAAGUCUGACCGAGCAACGCCGCGUGAGUGAAGAAGGUUUUCGGAUCGUAAAGCUCUGUUGUAAGAGAAGAACGAGUGCGAGAGUGGAAAGUUCACACUGUGACGGUAUCUUACCAGAAAGGGACGGCUAACUACGUGCCAGCAGCCGCGGUAAUACGUAGGUCCCGAGCGUUAUCCGGAUUUAUUGGGCGUAAAGCGAGCGCAGGCGGUUAGAUAAGUCUGAAGUUAAAGGCUGUGGCUUAACCAUAGUACGCUUUGGAAACUGUUUAACUUGAGUGCAGAAGGGGAGAGUGGAAUUCCAUGUGUAGCGGUGAAAUGCGUAGAUAUACGGAGGAACACCGGUGGCGAAAGCGGCUCUCUGGUCUGUAACUGACGCUGAGGCUCGAAAGCGUGGGGAGCAAACAGGAUUAGAUACCCUGGUAGUCCACGCCGUAAACGAUGAGUGCUAGGUGUUGGGUCCUUUCCGGGACUCAGUGCCGCAGCUAACGCAUUAAGCACUCCGCCUGGGGAGUACGACCGCAAGGUUG
rnacentral:rRNA from 1 species